rnacentral:rRNA from 1 species
CCUACGGGUGGCAGCAGUGAGGAAUAUUGGUCAAUGGGCGUAAGCCUGAACCAGCCAAGUCGCGUGAGGGAUGACGGUUCUAUGGAUCGUAAACCUCUUUUAUAAGGGAAUAAAGUGUGGGACGUGUCCUGUUUUGUAUGUACCUUAUGAAUAAGGAUCGGCUAACUUCGUGCCAGCAGCCGCGGUAAUACGGAGGAUCCGAGCGUUAUCCGGAUUUAUUGGGUUUAAAGGGUGCGUAGGCGGCUUUUUAAGUCAGCGGUGAAAGUUUGUGGCUCAACCAUAGAAUUGCCGUUGAAACUGGAAUGCUUGAGUAUGGUUGAGGCAGGCGGAAUGCGUGGUGUAGCGGUGAAAUGCUUAGAUAUCACGCAGAACCCCGAUUGCGAAGGCAGCCUGCCAAGCCAUGACUGACGCUGAUGCACGAAAGCGUGGGGAUCAAACAGGAUUAGAUACCCUUGUAGUC